rnacentral:lncRNA from 1 species
AAAGCUUGUCUUACGCCAUCUGAAAUUACGUACAAAGCCAAGUCAUUUCCUUUAGAUUCCUCUUUUAAUGUUGUUAGUGGAGCUUGUUAGCUCUGAUGCUUCUGCAGAGCUUCUCUGUGGAAAGAAGACAACAUCUUACAUUUCACAAGAGUUGCUGCAUAUCUAAUACAGGAUUUUGCAUCUUCCCCAUAAAAACUGGACCCAUCUGUGAACCAUGCUGAAUAUUCUGUGGCACAAAGUCAGCAACAGAGUUUUUAUCUGAUAACAGUUGACAGGUUAUAUUACUCUCUGGAUUAGGAUUAGAAGAAGGGGAAAGAAACAAAAGAUUAGCUCACUCCCUUUGUGUUACUCAGUUUCAUUCUCACUGGGUGCUCAAGAAUGGAUUUACCUUCAAGCGUUACUGUCACCUGGACCAUUCGGCACCAUAUGUGAGAAGGAAAGGGAGGCAGGGUCCAAAGUGCAUACACUUCACUCCCUGUGUAGAUGAGGCAACAAGAGAGAAAAAAAAAAAAAAAGAAAAAAGAAAAAAAGAUAAAGCUGUUCGUCAUCUCUGUUUUGCAUAA